UUUCGACUGAGGCCGAAGAUACGAGAAUAUGACCUAGGACACCAAAAACAGACUCAUCAAAGUUGUAUCACUGCCUGCUAGUACAGUGGACUAGUGGUUGAGGUGUGUUCCUCUUUUACCCAGGACUUCUGGAUUGACAGUUGUAUGUCUGUACAUUAUGGUUUUCAGAGGGUUCUUUGGCAGAGACAGCAAGAUAACUGACAGAAGUUUCCCAAUUGCGAGUUCUGUGACAGUCAGUAGAGAACACGAAUACACCAGACAUUUUCCUGAAGUGUUGGAAAUGGUCAGAAAUCAACCAGACAUUCAUAACCAGGCUUUUACUGUAUAAUACAUCAACCAACAAGCUUUUCAACUAAGAAGGUUGUUGAAGAAAACAGAAUUGGAGGGUUUCUUUAGAAACAUAUCCUGUUCCAAGACUGCAUUCAGGUGACAGAGUGUCUGCAAACUUGCUGAAACAAUUAUGACUGACAACUAGAUUACCAUCUUGGAUGAAGCAGGAAGCAGGCACUGUCCAAACAGGAAGUUGAAUUAUGGGAUAUGACAAGAGAUAGAGAGCAGACGUGUGCCAUGGAGACAGAUGUCUACAGAUGUUGAGAACUUGUGGCAGGAGAAAACUGAAGUCUUCAUAAAAUAUAAAAAUGAUUUUUAUAGGGCAAAUCAUGCAGUUUAACAAGUGAGACAGUGUUGCAGAAUGGCAAACAAACUCUUGGAAGGUUGGAGAACAAAACAUUGAGGCAGGAUGACAAAACCCAUUUGCUAAAUAGGAUGGUAGAAUUCCCAAGUCAAGCACUUUGAACAUUAAACAAGUUGUUCAGGCAGAAUGACAAAACUAAAUGCUUUGAAUAUAACAAAAAUAAGAUGGCAGAAUGCUGAAAGCUAAACACGGAAUGUUGAGAAACAAGACGAGGCAGAAUGCUGAUAGCCAAAUGCUCUGAAUGUUGAGAAACAACAUAGUAAAAUGCCACAAGCCAAAAAAACAAGUUGAAGGUUAAGGAACAAGAGUAUAAAACAGAAUGACUAAAC